GUGAGGUGCCAGCAGCCUGUGAUGUCUGCAGGUAGCAGAGCAGCUCCAGCACACCCAUCCCUUUCCACAGCCCCUGGCACAGCAGCGUAAUGUGGGGGCAGAUGGAUGGGCUGUGGUAGGAUGAGCCCUGCCCUGCUCCUGCUUCUAUUCCUGGCCAGCUGCUCCCUGCUCCAGGGGACGCUGCUGCGGCCACGGCACGUGAGGCUGGAGGCACAGAACUUCCACGUCUGGCUACACUGGGAGCCAGACCCCAGCUCACCCAUCUCUGCCACCUACGAGGUGGAGUGGAGGAACAGGAUUCAUGAUAUCUACUGGGCACGGGUGAGAGUGGUGGCCGGAGGUGAGCAGUCCGAGUGGGCCAGUUCCAGCGAGCUGCAGCUGUACAGAGACACAAUUAUUGGCCCCCCCAAGUUGUCCUGGCUGCUCCAGGAUCAAAUCCUCAGUGUAAAAAUCAUCACACCACUCACUCCCUACAAGAAAAGAACUGGUUCCUACAAGCCAGUCAACCGAGUGCUGCUGAAGCUGUGGUACUGGCUUCACCUGUACGAGGAGGACCUGCUUGUCCAGCAGGUGCCCUGCAAACGGAGCAGUGAGAAAGUGCCUUGCACCUUUGGGCACCUGAAGCCCAGCACACAGUACUGUGUCCGGACGGUGGCUGCAGACAUUGCCAGGGAGCGGAGCCGGGAGGUUGAGCGGUGCCUGGUGACUCCAGCAGGCCCUGCAGGCUUUCCAUGGGUCCUUGCCGUGCUGAGCGCCUUCUUCCUGCUGCUGCUGCUAAGUGUGGCCGGGCUGUGCUUCAUCCAGCUGCAUGUGUUCCCCAGUCCUCCGGAGAUGUGCCUCCCAAAAGCACUGGUGAGUGACCGUUCUCCUCCAGCUUGGAGCCGAGCCAGGGUUCCCUGCAUUUUUAGGGGCUCAGCACCUCCUUUCCUCCAACUCUCACACCACCAGCACCCCCCNCCCCGCUCCCGGAGCCGCCCGGAGCCGCCCGGCCAGCGCUGGCUCCUGUCCCCAGCGGCUGCUCCCACGGGCAGCCACACGCAUGGGACACAACUUUCCGCUGGGGUUUUGGUGCCCUUGAGACACAGCAGAAGGAGCAUGGACCAAAGCUGA
rnacentral:lncRNA from 1 species